UACGUAGGGCGCAAGCGUUAUCCGGAAUUAUUGGGCGUAAAGAGCUCGUAGGCGGUUUGUCGCGUCUGCCGUGAAAGUCCGGGGCUCAACUCCGGAUCUGCGGUGGGUACGGGCAGACUAGAGUGAUGUAGGGGAGACUGGAAUUCCAGGUGUAGCGGUGAAAUGCGUAGAGAUCCGGAGGAACACCAGUGGCGAAGGCGACACGCUGGGCCGUACCUGACACUGAUGCGCGACAGCAUGGGGAGCAAACAGG
rnacentral:rRNA from 1 species